rnacentral:piRNA from 1 species
UACAUAUAAUAAUAAAUAAAUCUUUGGGCU